AAAUUGAAGAGUUUGAUCAUGGCUCAGAUUGAACGCUGGCGGCAGGCCUAACACAUGCAAGUCGAACGGUAACAGGAAGCAGCUUGCUGCUUCGCUGACGAGUGGCGGACGGGUGAGUAAUGUCUGGGAAACUGCCUGAUGGAGGGGGAUAACUACUGGAAACGGUAGCUAAUACCGCAUAACGUCGCAAGACCAAAGAGGGGGACCUUCGGGCCUCUUGCCAUCGGAUGUGCCCAGAUGGGAUUAGCUUGUUGGUGGGGUAACGGCUCACCAAGGCGACGAUCCCUAGCUGGUCUGAGAGGAUGACCAGCCACACUGGAACUGAGACACGGUCCAGACUCCUACGGGAGGCAGCAGUGGGGAAUAUUGCACAAUGGGCGCAAGCCUGAUGCAGCCAUGCCGCGUGUAUGAAGAAGGCCUUCGGGUUGUAAAG
rnacentral:rRNA from 2 species